rnacentral:rRNA from 1 species
AGAAUCAACGCUGGCGGCGUGCCUAACACAUGCAAGUCGAACGAGAAAGUGGAGCAAUCCAUGAGUAAAGUGGCGACCGGGUGAGUAACACGUGACUAACCUACCUUCAAGUGGGGGAUAACCUCGGGAAACCGGGGCUAAUACCGCAUAACAUCUUUGGAGUGGAAAUUCUGGAGAUCAAAGGAGCAAUUCGCUGGAAGAGGGGGUCGCGGCUGAUUAGCUAGUUGGCGGGGUAAUGGCCCACCAAGGCUUUGAUCGGUAGCCGGCCUGAGAGGGCGCACGGCCACACUGGAACUGAAACACGGUCCAGACUCCUACGGGAGGCAGCAGUGGGGAAUUUUGCGCAAUGGGGGAAACCCUGACGCAGCAACGCCGCGUGGAGGAUGAAGUCCUUGGGACGUAAACUCCUUUCGACCGGGAAGAUGAUGACGGUACCGGUGGAAGAAGCCCCGGCUAACUUCGUGCCAGCAGCCGC